CGUAACAAGGUCUCCGUAGGUGAACCUGCGGAGGGAUCAUUACACAAAAAAAAGUAUGAGGGUGUGUGGUGCUGGCAACAGCGUCCCCGCCCAAGUAUCUUUUUCACCCAUGUCUUUUGCGCACUUUUUGUUUCCUGGGCGAGUUCGCUCGCCGCCAGGACCCAACCAUAAACCUUUUUUUAAGCAGUUGCAAUCAGCGUCAGUAUAAUAAUUCAAUUUAUUAAAACUUUCAACAACGGAUCUCUUGGUUCUGGCAUCGAUGAAGAACGCAGCGAAAUGCGAUACGUAGUGUGAAUUGCAGAAUUCAGUGAAUCAUCGAAUCUUUGAACGCACAUUGCGCCCUUUGGUAUUCCAAAGGGCAUGCCUGUUCGAGCGUCAUUUGUACCCUCAAGCUUUGCUUGGUGUUGGGCGUCUUUUGUCUCUCUCUCUCUCUGGGGGGAGACUCGCCUUAAAACGAUUGGCAGCCGACCUACUGGUUUCCGGAGCGCAGCACAAAUUUGCGCAUUCCAAGCCACAGGGCGGCAUCCAGCAAGCCUUUGUUGUCUACAACAAAUCCACAUUUUGACCUCGGAUCAGGUAGGGAUACCCGCUGAACUUAAGCAUAUCAUA
rnacentral:misc_RNA from 1 species